AUCUUUCCAGUUCAUUCACAUGAUGAUUGGUUAUAUCACGGUUCUCCGUGAAAGGCUCAGCCGAUUCCUUGUUACGUUCUGUGCCUUAAACCGUCUGAAC